AGAGUUUGAUCAUGGCUCAGGAUGAACGCUGGCGGCGUGCUUAAUACAUGCAAGUCGAACGGAGAGUUUUGUAGUAAUACGAAGCUUCUCAGUGGCGAACGGGCGAGUAACGAGUUGGUGACCUGCCCCGAAGUGUGGGAUAACAGUCCGAAAGGAUUGCUAAUACCGCAUGUGAUCAUUGGUUUUAGAAUCUGAUGAUUAAAGCAGUAAUGCGCUUCGGGAGGGACCUGCUUCCCAUCAGCUAGUUGGUGAGGUAAAGGCCCACCAAGGCUACGACGGGUAAGGGACCUGAGAGGGUGGUCCCUCGCAAUGGCACUGAAACACGGGCCAUACACCUACGGGUGGCAGCAGUAGGGAAUAUUGGGCAAUGGGCGAAAGCCUGACCCAGCAACGCCGCGUGCACGAUGAAGGCCUUCGGGUCGUAAAGUGCUUUUCUGAGGGAUGAGUAAGGACAGUACCUCAGGAAUAAGCCUCGGCUAACUACGUGCCAGCAGCCGCGGUAAAACGUAGGAGGCGAGCGUUAUCCGGAUUUACUGGGCGUAAAGCGUGUGCAGGCGGUUCGGCAAGUUGGAUGUGAAAGCUCCUGGCUUAACUAGGAGAGGUUGUUCAAUACUACCGAACUUGAGGGCAUCAGAGGAAGGUGGAAUUCCCGGUGUAGUGGUGAAAUGCGUAGAUAUCGGGAGGAACACCAGUGGCGAAGGCGGCCUUCUGGGAUGUUCCUGACGCUCAUACACGAAAGCUAGGGUAGCGAACGGGAUUAGAGACCCCGGUAGUCCUAGCAGUAAACGAUGUAGACUUGGUGUCGGAGGUGUCAAAACCUUCGGUAUCGUAGCUAACGCGAUAAGUCUACCGCCUGGGGACUACGGCCGCAAGGUUAAAACUCAAAUGAAUUGACGG
rnacentral:rRNA from 1 species